GCCUGGGUAGCUCAGCGGUUGAGCGUCUGCCUUCCACUCAGGGCGUGAUCCCUGGGUCCUGGGAUCAAGUCCCACAUCAGGCU
rnacentral:tRNA from 1 species